GAUCCUGGCUCAGGAUGAACGCUAGCUACAGGCAUAACACAUGCAAGUCGAGGGGCAGCAUUCCAGUUUGCUUCGCAAACUGGAGAUGGCGACCGGCGCACGGGUGAGUAACACGUAUCCAACCUGCCGAUAACUCGGGGAUAGCCUUUCGAAAGAAAGAUUAAUACCCGAUGGCAUAAUAGAACCGCAUGGUUUGAUUAUUAAAGAAUUUCGGUUAUCGAUGGGGAUGCGUUCCAUUAGG
rnacentral:rRNA from 1 species